rnacentral:lncRNA from 1 species
UGGAGUGCAGUGGUAGCAGCGCGAUUUCGGCUCUCUGGAACAUCCGCCUCCCGGGUUCAAGCAAUUCUCCUGCCUCAGCCUCCCGAGUAGCUGGGAUUACAGGCACCUACCACCACACCCGGCUAAUUUUUGUAUUUUUAGUAGAGACUGGGUUUCACUAUGUUGGCCAGGCUGCUCCCGAACUCCUGACUUUGUGAUCUGCUAGUCUCAGCCUCCCAAAGUGCUGGGAUUACAGGCGUGAGCUACCUUGCCCGAUCCCACUUUUUUUUUUUGAGACAGAGGCAACUAUAUCGCAGAACUCCUGGGCUCAAGUCAUGCUCCCGUCCAGUCUCUCAACUAGCUGGAAUUACAGGUGUGAGCUUGGCUUCCUUCCUCUUUUCUGGAAGGUUCUAGUGAUGCAAAACUUUUCACCAUUUCCCAAAUGCUACAUGCUUUUCAAUGCAUUUGUUUGUUUUCAUGUGCUGCUCCCUCUGCCUAGUGAACUCCUACAUACCAUUCGAGACCUAAACUUUUCUACUCUCUAUUAUGUCUCCCAGGAAAUCCUCUGGUCUCAUACAUUAUUCUAUUUACAACAGUGAGUUGUGACUUCUUAUUUGUAACUAUGUUUCAAGUAUUCUUGGAAUAUAGUAGGUGCUUUAUACAUUUUGGUAAAUUAAUGAAUGAAGUUGCCAUUAUGGGGCAAAUAAGAGGGCUGCAAACAUUAUCUGGGGAAACUUGGCCAACAGUCCCCAGAGUUCUGGACCCUUUUUUUUUUUUUUUUUGAGACGGAGUCGUCUCGCUCUGUCGCCCAGGCUGGUGUGCAGUGGCCUGAUCUCAGCUCACUGCAAGCUCUGCCUCCCAGGUUUACGCCAUUCUCCUGCCUCAGCCUCCCGAGUAGCUGGGACUACAGGCUCGCCACCUCAGCCCGGGUAGUUUUUUGUAUUUUUUUAGUAGAGACGGGGUUUCAUCGUGUUAGCCAGGAUGGUCUCGAUCUCUUGACCUCGUGAUCCGCCCGUCUUGGCCUCCCAAAGUGCUUGGGAUUAUAGGCUUGAGCCACCACACCCAGCCUUCUAAGAUUAGAGAUAGUUUGAGAAAAGAUAACAACAACAAAAGCUACAUGCCAUUUAUUAAGUCCUUACUGUCUACUAGAGUUGUUCUAAGCCUUGGUACACUUCAUCUCAUCUCAUCUUCAUAAUAGUACUAUGAGGUAGUUAUUACCUUCAUGAGGGUUUAUUCCCCUGAAUACAUUAUCUUCAUUUUACACUGGGGUGACUGAGGUUCAGAAAAGCAAAGGAAUUUCUUCCUUCCAAAGUUUUACAGCUAGGAUUUAAAUCCAGAUCUGGGCCAGGUACAGCAGCUCACACUUGCAAUCCCAGCAUUUUGGGAGGCAGAGGUGGGAGAAUCACUUGAGGCCAGGAGUUCAAGACCAGUCUGGGCAACAAAGUGAGACCCUGUCUCUACAAAAAAAAAAAAUUACCUGGGUGAGGUGGUGUGCACCUGUAGUCCCAGCUACUCGGGAGACUUAGGUGAGAGUAUCACUUGAGUCCACUGGAUGACAGAGCGAGACCUUGUCUCUAAAUUAAUCGGUACAUCCAGAUCUGUUGGCCUUUCAAAUCCAGGUUUUUAACCGCUAAGCUUUUCUGACUCUGAAUUCUUGACGUGUGAACUUUUUCUUCUGUAUCAUGGGAGAACCGAAUCCCAUGGCUCCUUCUGCCCAGUCUUGGAAACUCCAUUGUCAGAUGGGUCCCAAACUGUGUGGCGGGGGACUGGGAUUACGCAGACAGGCUGGGAGAGAUUAGAAGUUCCAACCUAAUCUUUGUGCUGAGAUCUUGACCUGCACCCGUGGUGGGGUGGGGGGAUUGCUAAUCAUUUACUUACUACUUAUGACCUCUGCCACCCCUGGAAUGGCCUAUGCUGUGGCUAAAUUAGCAAAAAAAAAAAAAAAAAAAAAAAA